UACGAAGGGAGCUAGCGUUGUUCGGAAUCACUGGGCGUAAAGCGCACGUAGGCGGACUUGUCAGUCAGGGGUGAAAUCCCGGGGCUCAACCUCGGAACUGCCUCUGAUACAGCAAGUCUUGAGUCCGGAAGAGGUGGGUGGAAUUCCUAGUGUAGAGGUGAAAUUCGUAGAUAUUCGGAGGAACACCAGUGGCGAAGGCGGCUCACUGGUCCAUUACUGACGCUGAGGUGCGAAAGCGUGGGGAGCAAACAGG
rnacentral:rRNA from 1 species